rnacentral:rRNA from 1 species
GAUAAACGCUGGCGGAAUGCUUUACACAUGCAAGUCGAACGGCAGCACGGACUUCGGUCUGGUGGCGAGUGGCGAACGGGUGAGUAACAUAUCGGAACGUAUCCAAUAAUGGGGGAUAACGAGUCGAAAGAUUCGCUAAUACCGCAUACGCCCUACGGGGGAAAGCUGGGGACCUUCGGGCCUGGCGUUAAUGGAGCGGCCGAUGUCAGAUUAGCUAGUUGGUGAGGUAAAGGCUCACCAAGGCGACGAUCUGUAGCGGGUCUGAGAGGAUGAUCCGCCAGACUGGGACUGAGACACGGCCCAGACUCCGACGGGAGGCAGCAGUGGGGAAUUUUGGACAAUGGGGGCAACCCUGAUCCAGCCAUGCCGCGUGAGUGAAGAAGGCCUUCGGGUUGUAAAGCUCUUUCGGCCGGGAAGAAAUCGCACAGGCUAAUACUCUGUGUGGAUGACGGUACCGGCAUAAGAAGCACCGGCUAACUACGUGCCAGCCGCCGCAGUAA